AAUAGAUACCCUGGUAGUCCACGCCGUAAACGAUGGAUGCUAGCUGUUACCAGUAUCGACCCUGGUAGUAGCGAAGCUAACGCGUUAAGCAUCCCGCCUGUGGAGUACGAGCGCAAGCUUAAAACAUAAAGGAAUUGACGGGGACCCGCACAAGCGGUGGAGCGUGUUGUUUAAUUCGAUGAUAAGCGAAGAACCUUACCCAGGCUUGACAUCCUGCGAAUCUUGCCGAAAGGCGAGAGUGCUUUAUUGAACGCAGUGACAGGUGUUGCAUGGCCGUCGUCAGCUCGUGUCGUGAGAUGUUUGGUUAAGUCCAUCAACGAGCGCAACCCUUAUAGUCAGUUGAAUUUCUCUGGCUAGACUGCCCUGGUAACAGGGAGGAAGGAGGGGAUGAUGUCAGGUCAGUAUUACCCUUACGUCUGGGGCUACAAACACGCUACAAUGGCCGGUACAAAGGGCAGCCAACCCGCGAGGGGGAGCAAAUCCCAUCAAAGCCGGUCUCAGUUCGGAUAGCAGGCUGAAACUCG
rnacentral:rRNA from 1 species